GUCCUUGUCGAUUAGUGGUUAGAUCAUCACGUUGUGGAAACGCAAAGCCGUGAAGACGGAGGCUCGAAUCCUCCCUGGGACA
rnacentral:tRNA from 1 species